rnacentral:tRNA from 1 species
CGCGGAGUAAAGCAACUUGGUAGCUCGCAAGGCUCAUAACCUUGAGGUCACAGGUUCAAAUCCUGUCUGUAUGC